rnacentral:rRNA from 1 species
GACGUAGGGGACGAGCGUUGUCCGGAUUCAUUGGGCGUAAAGCGCGCGUAGGCGGUUCGGUAAGUCGGGUGUGAAAACACGAGGCUCAACCUCGUGCGUGCAUCCGAUACUGCCGGACUAGAGGUAGGUAGGGGAGAUCGGAAUUCCUGGUGUAGCGGUGAAAUGCGCAGAUAUCAGGAGGAACACCGGUGGCGAAGGCGGAUCUCUGGGCCUUACCUGACGCUGAGGCACGAAAGCGUGGGGAGCGAACAGG